rnacentral:tRNA from 1 species
CAUUAAACCUCACCACCAACACCCAAAGCUGGAAUUCUACAUAAACUAUUCCUU